rnacentral:sRNA from 1 species
GCUGGGCCUGGGAGCACAUACCUGUAAUCCCAGCUACUUGGGAGGCUGAGGUAGGAGGAUCUCAAGUUCAAGGCCAGCCUCAGCAACUUAGUGAGACCCUGUCUCAA